UUUUUGUAUCACUUCUUAGAGGGACUUUGCGUGUCUAACGCAAGGAAGUUUGAGGCAAUAACAGGUCUGUGAUGCCCUUAGAUGUUCUGGGCUGCACGCGCGCUACACUGAUGCAUCCAACAAGUUGUUAAAAACCUUGGCCGAUAGGUUUAGGUAAUCUUUUGAGUAUGCAUCGUGAUGGGGAUAGAUUAUUGCAAUUAUUAAUCUUCAACGAGGAAUGCCUAGUAGGCGCAAGUCAGCAGCUUGCGCCGAUUACGUCCCUGCCCUUGUACACACCGCC
rnacentral:rRNA from 1 species